UGCUGCAGCUUUUGAUCGCUUUGCUGCGGGAGCGACGGAGAGGAAGAGCUACGCUCCUAAACGGGCGGAGAGGAGACCUCCAGCUGCCGAGAUCCCGAACAUACCUUCUCGCCAACCAGCCAUAGUUGGACAGAAACUGCCUCUUUAAAAACUCAAGUAGAUAGGAUGCGAUCCUGUCCUGGUUCAACCUUGGAUAAAGCGAAGUAGUGGCUGAUUCAAGCAGUCCCUGCAGAGGACAACUGAAUCCAGUAGAGCCACCCAUAUGCCAUCUUGAUGUCUCC